rnacentral:misc_RNA from 1 species
GUCGAAUGCAAUCAGGACCAGAUCGCCGGUUACGUUGAGUUCUGAGAUGUUGAUUGGCGGCGACGAGUGAGGCGUAGGUGGGAAGAGGAAGACGGCGGGUGGGGAUCGGUCGAGGAGUUCGGAGAGGCCGGGCUUGAGGCGGCGAUUGACGAUGGUGGUUGCGUUGAGGAGGCAUUUGGUGAGGAUUGGUGUGGUGGAGAGUUUGUGUUGUGCCUCGUGAGGAUGUUGGAGGAUGAGGAUUUUUGUUUUAGUUGCGAUUGGUGAAGAUGGAAGGAAUUUGCAGAGGCAGACUGGUUGUGGACGGCUGCAAUUGGAGCAUAUUGACCGUCGUGGUGGCGGUGAUGAUGAGGAAGAGGAAUUUCCGGCGGCGGAGUUGUGGUUGUUUGUUGCCUCCAUGCGCGAGGAAACGAUGUCGUUUAUGCGUUGGUUUCGCUGUUUUAGGGUAAGGGAAGUUUCUCCGUGAAAAGUCUCUACAGAUUUUCAUUACCCCAUGGACAAAAGCAAGAAUCGCAGACAAAUUGAAGGAGAAAACAGCCCGAAAACCGCAUUCAUCAUCAACGAAAAG